rnacentral:lncRNA from 1 species
GGAAUGCGGCCCUGGGAGCGGAGCUGGGCGUGCGGGUCCUGCUCUUUGUGGCCUUCCUGGCGACCGAGCUGCUCCCUCCCUUCCAGCGGCGGAUUCAGCCCGAGGAGCUGUGGCUUUACCGGAACCCGUACGUGGAGGCGGAAUACUUCCCCACCGGCCCCAUGUUUGUGCGUGAGCUGCCCUCCCGCCCUGGUGGACUCCUCCCUGCCUUAUGCUGGGUGCUCAGGAGUUGAGCCUUGGGCAAGGCUUCUGGUGGGCUCUCCGAGUUCGAGCUUAGUGAGCGGCAACAGGUGGUUUAGGCCAGGAGGGACUUGGUUUUACCUGUCCUGUGCUCUCCUUCAGGUCAUUGCCUUUCUCACCCCACUGUCCCUGAUCUUCUUCGCCAAGUUUCUGAGGAAAGCUGACGCCACCGACAGCAAGCAAGCCUGCCUCGCUGCCAGCCUUGCCCUAGCUCUGAAUGGUGUCUUUACCAACAUCAUAAAACUGAUAGUGGGCAGGCCACGCCCAGAUUUCUUCUACCGAUGCUUCCCCGACGGGAUGGCCCAUUCUGACCUGACUUGCACAGGGGACAAGGAUGUGGUGAAUGAGGGCCGAAAGAGCUUCCCCAGUGGACACUCUUCCUGUAUGAGUCUCAUGUGAACUACCUCAAUGCUUACAUGGAUAUGUGUUUGGCUUCUCUGUGUGGAUGCAUGCUGAGGAGGGUAGGGGGAGGCGUUAGGUCCCCUGAAGUGGAGUUAGAGACCAGCCUGAGUUGCCAUGUGAGUGCUGGGAACUGAACCAAGGUCCUCUCAAAAGCCAACUGCUGCUGAGUCACUCUUAGCUCCUCCAGCCCCAGUGUGUACUUUAAAUAUGGUUACAUUUAACCUUCAGAGCUUUGUAGGGACGAGCCAUCUCUUCCUAGUCAAGAGCUACUUGUGAGGGGCCGCUGAGCCGUUUAUGUUGUUCCUUUGUAGCUCCCCAGACCGCAGCAAGGCCUAUUUUGUAACUUUUAUGAUUCCCACUUAUAGAUGAGGAGUCUACGGCACUGUGCAAAGUAGUAACUUCUAUUCCAGAAACCAUUGUUACUUAGUAUUUUAACUCGGGGACAGAGAAUGAAGCCUUCAUUUCCCCGUUCCCUGUAAUGACUUGGGGUAAUCCUGCCCUUGCUGCCUGCCCUGUCUGGAUGUGGGUGACAGGGCCCCACAGAAGGACGCCCAGCUCACAGGUCUUCCCUUUCUAGUUGCCUUUGCUGGCCUGGCCUUUGCUUCCUUCUACCUGGCAGGGAAGUUACACUGCUUCACACCCCAAGGCCGAGGGAAGUCCUGGAGGCUCUGUGCCUUUCUGUCACCUUUACUCUUUGCAGCUGUGAUUGCACUGUCCCGCACGUGUGACUAUAAGCACCACUGGCAAGAUGUGCUCGUUGGAUCCAUGAUUGGAACAACAUUUGCCUAUGUCUGCUACAGGCAGUACUACCCCCCUCUCACUGACACAGAGUGCCAUAAACCAUUCCAGGACAAGCACAGACUUCCGUCUUCACAGAAGCCCAGUGUGCCUCACCGUUUGGACAUUUAGUUGAGUCUACCUCAGUGGAGAGCAAGCAAAUCAAUCCUCCUAACUGGACACCAUGCACAAGCCAAGGAUUUCUGGCUUUUACCUCUUCCAAGGUCAAAGGGAGGACACAGCCACACUGUGCACCUUUGCCCCACUUCCAAGGCUAGACCCUGAGGUCUCACUGCCUGGCUUGACACGGGCUCUCUCAGUGCUUCUCUCACUAGGUUAAUGAGUCCGGUCCCAGUAU